AGAGCGAACGUUAGCGGCGGGCUUAACACAUGCAAGUCGAGCGAGAAAGGGGCUUCGGCCCCGAGUACAGCGGCGGACGGGUGAAUAACACGUAGGUAACCUUCCUUCCAGCGGGGGACAACGGUCCGAAAGGACCGCUAAUACCGCAUACGUUCUCCGGGACCUCGGUCCUGGGGAGGAAAGCCUCGCAAGGGCACUGGAUGAGGGGCCUGCGUAGCAUCAGCUAGUUGGUGGGUAAUGGCCUACCAAGGCGAAGACGCUUAGCUGGUCUGAGAGGAUGAUCAGCCACACUGGGACUGAGACACGGCCCAGACUCCGUACGGGAGGCAG
rnacentral:rRNA from 1 species